AUUGAACGCUGGCGGCAUGCCUUACACAUGCAAGUCGAACGGCAGCACGGGAGCAAUCCUGGUGGCGAGUGGCGAACGGGUGAGUAAUAUAUCGGAACGUGCCCAGUCGUGGGGGAUAACGCAGCGAAAGCUGUGCUAAUACCGCAUACGAUCUACGGAUGAAAGCGGGGGAUCGCAAGACCUCGCGCGAUUGGAGCGGCCGAUAUCAGAUUAGCUAGUUGGUGGGGUAAAAGCCCACCAAGGCGACGAUCUGUAGCUGGUCUGAGAGGACGACCAGCCACACUGGAACUGAGACACGGUCCAGACUCCUACGGGAGGCAGCAGUGGGGAAUUUUGGACAAUGGACGCAAGUCUGAUCCAGCAAUGCCGCGUGCAGGAUGAAGGCCUUCGGGUUGUAAACUGCUUUUGUACGGAACGAAACGGCUCCUUCUAAUAUAAGGGGCUAAUGACGGUACCGUAAGAAUAAGCACCGGCUAACUACGUGCCAGCAGCCGCGGUAAUACGUAGGGUGCGAGCGUUAAUCGGAAUUACUGGGCGUAAAGCGUGCGCAGGCGGUUAUAUAAGACAGAUGUGAAAUCCCCGGGCUCAACCUGGGACCUGCAUUUGUGACUGUAUAGCUAGAGUACGGUAGAGGGGGAUGGAAUUCCGCGUGUAGCAGUGAAAUGCGUAGAUAUGCGGAGGAACACCGAUGGCGAAGGCAAUCCCCUGGACCUGUACUGACGCUCAUGCACGAAAGCGUGGGGAGCAAACAGGAUUAGAUACCCUGGUAGUCCACGCCCUAAACGAUGUCAACUGGUUGUUGGGUCUUCACUGACUCAGUAACGAAGCU
rnacentral:rRNA from 1 species